rnacentral:rRNA from 1 species
AUGCAUGUCUAAGUAUAAGCAAUUAUACAGCGAAACUGCGAAUGGCUCAUUAUAUAAGUUAUCGUUUAUUUGAUGGUACCUUACUACUUGGAUAACCGUGGUAAUUCUAGAGCUAAUACAUGCUAAAAAUCCCGACUUCGGAAGGGAUGUAUUUAUUAGAUUAAAAACCAAUGCCCUCUGGGCUCUCUGGUGAUUCAUGAUAACUUCUCGAAUCGCAUGGCCUUGCGCCGGCGAUGGUUCAUUCAAAUUUCUUCCCUAUCAACUUUCGAUGUUUGGGUAGUGGCCAAACAUGGUUGCAACGGGUAACGGAGGGUUAGGGCUCGACCCCGGAGAAGGAGCCUGAGAAACGGCUACUACAUCCAAGGAAGGCAGCAGGCGCGCAAAUUACCCAAUCCCGACACGGGGAGGUAGUGACAAUAAAUACUGAUACAGGGCUCUUUUGGGUCUUGUAAUUGGAAUGAGUACAAUUUAAAUCCCUUAACGANNNNNNNNNNNNNNNNNNNNNNNNNNNNNNNNNNNNNNNNNNNUCCAGNUCCAAUAGCGUAUAUUAAAGUUGUUGUGGUUAAAAAGCUCGUAGUUGAACCUUGGGCCUGGCUGGCCGGUCCGCCUCACCGCGUGUACUGGUCCGGCCGGGUCUUUCCCUCUGUGGAACCCCAUGCCCUUCACUGGGUGUGGCGGGGAAACAGGACUUUUACUUUGAAAAAAUUAGAGUGCUCCAGGCAGGCCUAUGCUCGAAUACAUUAGCAUGGAAUAAUGAAAUAGGACGUGCGGUUCUAUUUUGUUGGUUUCUAGGACCGCCGCAAUGAUUGAUAGGGACAGUCGGGGGCAUCAGUAUUCAAUUGUCAGAGGUGAAAUUCUUGGAUUUAUUGAAGACUAACUACUGCGAAAGCAUUUGCCAAGGAUGUUUUCAUUAAUCAGGAACGAAAGUUAGGGGAUCGAAGACGAUCAGAUACC